CACCUUAAGACUAGGAGUCAAAUUAGUUCUGUAGCUAUACAAGUGGGCGUGGACUUGUACAUGCACAUGUGCGUGCAAGUGCACCAUUAUGGGAUAGCAGCAUGUUGCCACUGACAGGACAAGAGUGUUCUCCUUGUUUCUACAGGCUUAUCUGAGCCCUCAAAAGGAUUAACAAAGAAACCAACACAUAGGCCAUUCUUCUCCAUGGAGUGCCUUGAUUAGGCCUCUUGAACAUGGAGAGGGACAGAUGUAGGCACUCAAGGAAGACAUGGAAGAGGGAGUGAGGCUCGCGCUCACCUUGAACCUGGGAUAGAACUUGGGAACUUGCACUUGCAAGGCAGGUGGCAGAACCACUGAGCUAAAUCCCCAGCCGUGUAUUCUGUCAGAAUAAAUGACGUUUGAAAUAUCAAGGGUAGAAUGAAUAUCAGCAAGAGGAAAUCGUAGACCAAGAGGGAAGAUCUGAUUGAGUAUAAGGAACGCAUUAACACUGAAGAAAAUCAUGUUUUCUGGACUGGACACAAACUCAGGGCGCUGGGAGGAAACAGGAGUUGUAAACACACCUGUGGUGUUGAGGCAUUGGAGGAGAUGGGCAGUUUCCUCAGAGGACUCUGGGUUCUUUGGCAUAGAAAAUACCUUGAAAGCUGUACGGGUACCCAUUGUCUGUAUCCAAACCUGAUGUGUGCUGGGACCAUUUCAGCGACUGAACUACUAGAAAUCGAUUUCUGAGCACUAACACCCAUCCAGGUCAGGAAUCCAGCAACUGAACCAAUGAAUGCAGCCAAAGAGCGAGAAAUAAAUUUCCUGUUUUCCCACUACAUUACCUGGCAUCCUUGCAGUGUUUCUCUCCUUAUGAAUUCAUCACAGUUGAAUCCUUCUUUGGAGAAGGCUGCCUCGGGUCAAAUCCAUGUCCUACCACUUGUAAGCUGAAGGAUGUAGCUCAAUCCCCUCAUCUAUACCUUGUGGAUAAUAAAAAUCUCUCAUCCAUGUAACAGAGCUUAUCUGUAUAAAGUGCUUGGAAUAGGACCUAGCUUGGUAGCAAGCACUCAGUAAGGCACUCCGUAGUUUUACUCAAUAAAAGUUUCACUUCACUUGCACCCUUAUACAUACAUGAAAACCUCUGGCUUGAAAGGAAUCUACACGCUGACCACAACCUCCAACACCUAGGAACCCAUUCUGCAACAUGGUAUUUUCAGUCUACUUGAGCCUUACUGCCUCAGGGAGCAGCAUCCCAUCUUCGGACAGCGCUAACUUCUAGGAGAGCAAGG
rnacentral:lncRNA from 1 species